AUUAGUCUUUUUCUUCUGCAAUGCACUUUGGCUGGUGACAAUUUUCUUCCUUCAGGCAAUUGGUGAUACAAUCUCCAAAAAGAUCCCAAAAGUCUAUCCCAAUGGGACUCUUGACGCAACAGAAGUGUUUUCCAUAGAUCCGACUGCACUGAUGUUUCUACUGGGCUUCGCAUUAGUGCUCUUAAUGCUGUUUGUUGCAAUGGUUUACCACAGAAUCUACACAGUAAUCCAUAUGUGGCAUAUUCUGACACAGAAAUGAAAUCUUAUAGAAAGAGGUCACAAUAGGUUGAACAGAUCCCGCACUCAAACCAUCAACAGGAGACACAGCCAGACAGCCAAUACCAAACAAUCCCCUGAAUAUAACUGCUAGUAGCCUAUAUGAUAUAUCACAAUCACAAUUCACGACACGAUGAUAGUACUAAAUAUUUGCAUUGACCAAUAUAGACACUACAAGAAAUGACACAUGGAGUAAAUUAUGUAUUGUUUGUUAGUCAAUUACAUUACUACUUUCCGUCCCAAAUACCACUUUAUUGCUUUCUCUCAUUCUCGUUAAAACUUUUCAUUCUAUCUUUGUACACAUUUACUGUAGAAUGCAUUUAAAUAUAUUAAGGAAAAUAUGCAUAAUUGUCCUGUUGCAAGUAUGUCUUUUCUUUUUAUAUAACACUUGUAUUGCAUUUGCUUUUUUUAAAAAAAGUGGUUUAUUAAGAAAGACACCACACACUUGUAUUGUAUCUGGUUUAUUAAGAAAGUGGUUUAUUAAGUAAAACACCACACUUGUUGUUUUAAAGCUUUUAUUACGAAAAUGUUUAUAGCAUGUAUUAGCAAGAGCAUA